GAGAAGCUGAAAACACAUGUUCAUGAUGACCCGUCUCCUAGGCCUACUACUCAACGCAGAAUAUUUGCGCGGUAAGCCAGUGGGCGAAAAUCAGAACUGAUUCAACUUCCACAGACAAUAAACCCGCGCCGAUGCGCGGGUUUUUUU
rfam:Rahnella aquatilis CIP 78.65 = ATCC 33071, complete genome.